GCGGCUGCGGCUGAGUGACGGACGGUGGAGGCCCAGAGCCCGGGCCUGAAGGGGGGGACAAACCUGGGUGCCCGCAGGAGCCCGGCAGGGUACUGUGCUAAACCCUGGGGAGACGGCGAAGUGGAAAACAUAUAGAGUCUGUGCCCUCCCAGAUUUUACAGUCUUACUUGGUCACUUCACGUAUGUACCUGCGGUUAUAAAUUGAGAUGAGUGCUGUGAAGGAGAAGUCCAUUCUGAUGCUCUGAGUGUCUUACAAGUAUCAAGAACUUACUAUAUGUGGUUGAAUAAACAAUCAAGGUAAAGAGCAUCAAGUAAAAACUUCUGCUUGUUGAUAAGUACUUCAGACAUUCCCCCAGUGGCUGAAGUGGCAUAUGAAUUAUGAAGUUGGAUCAUUUGGAAUGAAUGGCUCCUCCUACUCCAGAGAGGAAACCUCAUCCAGGGCCAUGAAGCCACUUCCUCACCAUCUGUGUGCUGCUUAAGCUAAUGCUGCGGGAACCAUGGUUCCUUGGGAGGAAUCAAGCUGACUCUUGGCAUGAGAUUCCUGCCUUCCUAGGGUUGAGAGCGGCACUGCCAUGGCUUCUCUGGACGACCCAGGGGAAGUGAGGGAGGGCUUCCUCUGCCCUCUGUGCCUGAAGGAUCUGCAGUCUUUCUAUCAGCUUCACUCACAUUACGAGGAAGAACACUCAGGGGAAGAC
rnacentral:lncRNA from 10 species